AGACCUGUUUUGUAAAAAAUAUAAAUAUUUACUAAAAUUGUAAAUGCAUUCAUUAUCUAAUUAAUUUUGUUCUCAUAAGUAAAUAGUAGUAACCAUACCUGCAUGUUAUUGUUUCUAAAUAUUGUAACAUUAUGAAGACCGUAUGUUAGAUGACGAUUAUGGUUAAUACGUUUCCUUCGUGAAAUAAAGUUUUUUACUUUGCUUAUUAUAUACUGAGGUUUUAGCCUGUUUAAUUAAAUAUAUUUUUAUUCUAUUGUAUUAUGAUACAUUAUUGAUGUUAUCCAAAACAAUUCAACUACAUUAAAUACUUACCAACCUUGUACCCUUGACAUUUAACUUCUAGCAUGUGGUGAUACCAACCCAGCGUUUUGCCUGAUUUACUCCAAAUAUUGCUCCUUGUGGAAGGUGGCUCACAACAUGUGCAGGCGCACCUGCAACACCUGUAAACUUUAAGGUAAGUGAAGUUGAAGCUUGCUAAUUUUUAUCUCGGAUGUAAGCUCCCACGCCGAUUGGCUGCCUUAACCCUGGUUCUCGCUACGACGUAAGCAUAAGAAUAAGCAAAAGUGGGAUCAAACGUAUUCAUUUCUUAUGUACUGUCUUCACUAUACGACAGAACAGAAGCAUAAGAAUAUCAAAACGUUGCGUUCUUUUCCUUAUGCUUACACUGUUGCUUAUGCUUGCGUUUUAUCCUGCGUUCUGCCAAGGAUACAGUGAGAACAACACGUCAAGCAUAAGAACAUCAAAUCAUUCCGCUUGUUUAUCAUUGCGCUGAUGCUAGCGUUGUAGUGAGAACAAUGCUUUAAGCUUCGAAUACAAUGGUUGCUAAUAGUAUUGCGUUGUCGUCGCACAAGGUGGCUACACCUGCAAUAUUUCACCUGCAAUACACGUCUUUAUAACGCAUUUCAUUGGCCGGUCAAGAAACGUGUCAAUCAUCAACCUUGACCACACCACCCAAUUUUCGGCAAUCAUUGCCAAAAAUCAACAGAUUUGAAAUUUCGGCAAUCAUUGCGCGAAGCUUUGCGUUGCCAUCGCAGAGCAUGAUACACAAGCAAUUUCUCUCUCGCGAUGGCAAUGCAACGAUUUUACCACCACUGCAUUUCCGUCGCCAGAAAAAUAUUACCCGCGUGUAUCCGGGACUUACAUAUGGGACUUGCAUUCAUCUGGCCCCCAGAUAUGUAUCUUAGUCUGUGUAUCUUAGUCUACCGUUUAAAUGAAUUUAUCCCACAAUGCCCUGUCUAAUCUUCUAUAAUUUCCAUGCUUUGAAUGAUAGAACGACACAUAUUAACUUUUGCCUGAGACUGUCGGAUGCAAUCAGUUUAAAAUUGCAGUGUGUAUAGCAAGCACACAACUCGCCUACGUUGUCGUACGUAAGUUGUGUGCUUGAUUGAUACAGUACAACUCAAGUUGUAAGCAGGUUGCAUGCGACAGUUUUGGGCAAGAGUUGUGUAGUGUAAAUCGGUUAUAAAACUUUUAACUACGUUUUAGUGCAAAGGUGUUGUGGCGUGUUCUAAUCGCCAUGUUUUUCAUUCUUUCAGGUAUUCCACAGGCAGAAACACAGGUUCAAAAUGAAAAUAAAAUGUAACUGAUAUUUAAGUUUGGUUCUUUAACAUUUUUGUGUGCAUUUUGAACGUUUUUUCAUACAUUCUCUUUUGAAUUAUUGAGUAUAGUUUAAGAAACUCACGUGAAAUUAAAAUAGUAUUGCAUUAUGCGGUUCACAUCAUUGAGAAACUGUAGCGUAAAGUAUUGCAUAAGUAAGAGACCACUGCGCAGACUAGUAAUAUUUCAUGCUCCUCGAGCGUGCUUAUUUUUCUCCUAAAUUGUAGAAAUUUUGUAUUCAUGUUUGAUAAAAUUAAAAACUGUUACGUGGAGCUCGAACAUGUAGUUAUCAUCCACUUUUUUGGCCGAAGCGAAG